UGAGGAAUUUUCCGCAAUGGGCGAAAGCCUGACGGAGCAAUGCCGCGUGAAGGAUGAAGGCCUAUGGGUUGUAAACUUCUUUUCUCAGAGAAGAAUUUUGACGGUAUCUGAGGAAUAAGCAUCGGCUAACCCU
rnacentral:rRNA from 1 species